rnacentral:lncRNA from 1 species
GUGCUAAAAUGGACCACGAAGGAAUGUUCGAGCUGUCCGAAGGAGUGGACACUUCCCGAGCGGAGGUCGGAGUACCAGGCCCUGGCAGCUUUGCGGAGUGUGACAGGAAAGCCGAUGCAAAGAAGAGCGUCGGUUGCCCCUCGAAUCGUCAUGAGAGCUUUGUAGCUCUCCAAAUGGUCGAUCGGGUCGGUGGAGCCGUCGUAAGGCUCCACGUGUGGCAUCUGGAACCGAUUGGGGAUCGAUUCGUCGAGG